rnacentral:rRNA from 1 species
UACGUAGGGCGCAAGCGUUGUCCGGAAUUAUUGGGCGUAAAGAGCUCGUAGGCGGCUUGUCACGUCGGAUGUGAAAGCCCGGGGCUUAACUCCGGGUCUGCAUUCGAUACGGGCUAGCUAGAGUGUGGUAGGGGAGAUCGGAAUUCCUGGUGUAGCGGUGAAAUGCGCAGAUAUCAGGAGGAACACCGGUGGCGAAGGCGGAUCUCUGGGCCAUUACUGACGCUGAGGAGCGAAGGCGUGGGGAGCGAACGGG